rnacentral:lncRNA from 1 species
AGAAAAAUAAAAUAUUUGAUUUAUGGUACCUGAAAAAUAAAAAAAAGAAAGAAGUAUCCCAAGUCUAGCCACCAAGGAUGAACACAUAGGGAAGAUGUGAAGAGGCAAAUGACUAUGGAGGUGUUCAACAAUUUAUUUUCAGACCGUGGUCACAAGAUUUUAUGGAGUCUAUCAAAGAGAAAGAGUUGAUAUUUUUGUGAAAUGGUUGUAGAAGGGCAGG